UACGUAGGUGGCAAGCGUUGUCCGGAUUUACUGGGCGUAAAGGCUGCGUAGGCGGACAUUUAAGUCAGAUGUGAAAUACCCGAGCUUAACUUGGGUGCUGCAUUUGAAACUGGGUGUCUAGAGUGCAGGAGAGGUAAGUGGAAUUCCUAGUGUAGCGGUGAAAUGCGUAGAGAUUAGGAAGAACACCAGUGGCGAAGGCGACUUACUGGACUGUAAUUGACGCUGAGGCAUGAAAGCGUGGGGAGCAAACAGG
rnacentral:rRNA from 1 species